rnacentral:rRNA from 1 species
CCUACGGGUGGCAGCAGUGAGGAAUAUUGGUCAAUGGACGCAAGUCUGAACCAGCCAUGCAGCGUGAAGGAAGACGGCUCUAUGAGUUGUAAACUGCUUUUGUACGAGGGUAAACGCAGAUACGCGUAUCUGUCUGAAAGUAUCGUACGAAUAAGGAUCGGCUAACUCCGUGCCAGCAGCCGCGGUAAUACGGAGGAUUCAAGCGUUAUCCGGAUUGAUUGGGUUUAAAGGGAGCGUAGGGGGUCGGUUAAGUUAGAGGUGAAAUCCCGAGGCUCAACUUCGGAAUUGCCUCUGAUACUGUUCGUCUAGAGUGUAGUUGCGGUAGGCGGAAUGUGUGGUGUAGCGGUGAAAUGCUUAGAUAUCAUGCAGAACACCGAUUGCGAAGGCAGCUUACCAAGCUACUUCUGACGUUGAUGCACGAAAGCGUGGGGAGCAAACAGGAUUAGAUACCCGAGUAGUC